AACGAACGCUGGCGGCAGGCUUAACACAUGCAAGUCGAACGCAUCCUUCGGGGUGAGUGGCAGACGGGUGAGUAACGCGUGGGAACGUGCCCUUCAGUUCGGGAUAACCCAGGGAAACUUGGGCUAAUACCGGAUACGUGCGAGAGCAGAAAGAUUUAUCGCUGAAGGAUCGGCCCGCGUCUGAUUAGCUAGUUGGUGGGGUAAUGGCCCACCAAGGCGACGAUCAGUAGCUGGUCUGAGAGGAUGAUCAGCCACAUUGGGACUGAGACACGGCCCAAACUCCUACGGGAGGCAGCAGUGGGGAAUAUUGGACAAUUGGCGCAAGCCUGAUCCAGCCAUGCCGCGUGAGUGAUGAAGGCCUUAGGGUUGUAAAGCUCUUUCGUCCGGGACGAUAAUGACGGUACCGGAAGAAGAAGCACCGGCUAACUACGUGCCAGCCGCCGCAGUAA
rnacentral:rRNA from 1 species